GAAGAAGACGAAAUCUCCAGAAUUAUUUUCCGUGUUUUUCCGCUAUUUGUUGUAUUAAAAAUCGGCGUCCUGGUUUUCCCUGGCUGUUCAAACAGAUCUUCUCAAAAACACAGAGCCAGUGGGUUUGACAAACGGUGGCUGAACCAAUUUACCUGCUCAGGCAAACUGAGGAAGGUGAAGACACUUCUGCACAGCAGACUGAAGGAGAGGCACUGGGAUGAUGUUGUAAGGAGGCCAUGAUGGACCAGGACCAGGACCAUCGAUGGAUCAGACCAGACCAGGACCAGGACCAGGACCA